CUCUUGCACAGCUAUAGGCGGCACAACAUUUCUACCCCUGGGAAACAGAGCUGGGAAGCCGGAGCGGGUCAGUAAGGGACGGAGGCUGCACUGGCACAAUCAGUUUUCAAAUGUGGGUGACUGACCCCGGCAGCCAAAAAGCUUCCUCACACUGAGAGUUAAGGAAUGGAAAGGCCCAUGAACUGAAGAGAGUCUCAAGGUCAUUGGCUCCUACAUGGAGCUAAAUAGAAUCUCACAGGAAGCGAGUGACCCAGUGAUGGGGGACAAGAAUAUAAAUCAGAGGAAUGAGAGAAUCCUGAAUCUUACACUGGAGAUUAUCUAUCUGCUGACUGGAGAGGGCUACGUCAUCCCUAAGAAGAAGAGCCCAAC